AGCUAACGCUGGCGGCACGCCUAACACAUGCAAGUCGAACGUAAUUUUGUCCUUCGGGGUAAAGUUAGUGGCAAACGGGGUGAGUAAUAUAUAGCAAUCUACCCUUACGUGGGGGAUAGCCAUGGGAAACCGUGGGUAAUACCGCAUACCUUCGAGAGAAUAAAGUCUACGGACGCGAAAGGAGGAGGCUAUAUCAGAUUAGGUUGUUGGUAAGGUAACGGCUUACCAAGCCUGUGAUCUGUAGCUGGUCUGAGAGGAUGAUCAGCCACACUGGGACUGAGAUACGGCCCAG
rnacentral:rRNA from 1 species